CCUACGGGAGGCUGCAGUAGGGAAUAUUGCUCAAUGGGGGAAACCCUGACGCAGCAACGCCGCGUGGAGGAUGAAGGUUUUAGGAUUGUAAACUCCUUUUGUGAGAGAAGAUAAUGACGGUAUCACACGAAUAAGCACCGGCUAAUUCCGUGCCAGCAGCCGCGGUAAUACGGAGGGGGCAAGCGUUACUCGGAAUCACUGGGCGGAAAGAGUGCGCAGGCGGGCUUGUAAGUCAGAUGUGAAAUCCUGUAGCUUAACUACAGAACUGCAUUUGAAACUAUGAGUCUGGAGUGUGGGAGAGGUAGGUGGAAUUCUUGGUGUAGGGGUAAAAUCCGUAGAUAUCAAGAGGAAUACUCAUUGCGAAGGCGACCUACUGGAACAUUACUGACGCUCAUGCACGAAAGCGUGGGGAGCAAACAGGAUUAGAUACCCGGGUAGUC
rnacentral:rRNA from 1 species